AUGGAAAAUGCUGAUGAAGUGGCGGUAAAGGUGCUUAUGGAGACAUCAAUAGCGGAGUCAACAGAUUUCCUCCCUGAGGUGGCGGCAUUGUCCAAAGUUCAUCACAAGAAUCUCGUAACUCUACAAGGAUAUUGCCAGAACAAGAAGUGCCUAGCCCUCAUUUAUGACUUCAUGCCCAGAGGAAAUCUUCAACAGCUUUUAAGAGAAGGAGAAGACUACAGUUUGAAUUGGGAACAGCGACUUCAUAUUGCACUUGAUUCUGCACAAGGACUGGAAUAUCUACACGAGUCAUGCACCCCAUCAAUAGUUCACUGA
rnacentral:rRNA from 1 species